CUUGACCUUGCAUUUGGUCUUGAGGGGAUCCCAGUGUGGGAUCAGAGCAAAUGAAUCUUUCCCACUAUGGGAUAGGGGAAACAACCCUGUUCAUGACAGGUCAAGAGUGUCAUAUUUCCCCCUUCAUCUUGUAGAGUAUUAUCCUCUUAAAUAGUAUACCUACAUCCAGAUCCAAGAAAAAGCGUGCCAGCAACAGACCCAGCAGCCACUCUGUACGGUCCUUGCAACGACCCACUUGGCAGCCGAGGCUCCAGGAGGUCCAGUAGGUUGCCUGAGGUCACAUGAGUAGAAACUGAGAGCUGAGAGUCAAGCUCGGAGCUGUCUGAUUCUAAAGGCUUCUCUCUGAACAGAUCUGCUACCCUCCUUCCCAGCCAGCCCUCCCCACUGAUGCCAGGCACCUUUUUAAAGUACAGCUGGGAGACCUGAUGCAACCUGAUGCUUUUUUCUGUGUGUAUCAGCAUUGCAGAAGGCAGACGCCCAACCCCAGAAAUGCCUUAGUUGGAAUAUAAGAGCCUCUCUCGUUUUGCCCAAUCUACCCUCCUUGCUUGUCUCUUCUGCCCUCCUUUGCAUGUUGCAUGCCUCAGCGCUUUCCUGCUCAGCCUAGGCUGCCUCUCGCCUCUGUGCCUUUGCUCAAGCUGGUCCCUCCACCUAGGGGGCCCCUUCCUGCACUUGCCCACGUGGCUAACAAAUGCGUGAUGGCAUUUAAGGAUCUCUUUCUCAGUGAUGCUCUCCCCGAUGUCCCCAAGCAGAACUGAAUUCUUUCUCCUUGGAUGUCUCCAUCAAAAUAGGUAUCACAUUAUUAAAAUGACUGUUUUGUGUCUAAGUUCCUCUUCCCUACCAACCUGUGAGCUUGAGGACCAAGACCCCGUGAGAGGCAGUGCAAUAAAGAGCACAGUGUUGGAGCCAGACCUGCCGCACUUCAAAUCUCAAAGGCUGCAUGACUUCGGGCAAGAUGAGAGAAAACUGAGACACAGAACAUUGAGGUGACUCGCCAGAGGCCACACAGCUCAUAGGUGCCCGAGCUAGGAUGUAAGCCCAAGCUUUCUGACAGCAGAAUCUAUGCUCCUCACACCUGGAGCCCAGAUCUUGGUUUGAAGACACCUCUCCCCACUGAGAAGAGCCACGUUUCUUGGAGAAAUGGCUGAUUCCAGGUCUGGGGCUAGGAAAGACAGGUGAGCCAGGGUCGUCUAGUUCCAGAAAGCAAGCAGGUGUCCAAAAUGAUGGGCAUGUGUCAAGAGCCCCAAAUUCAGCUUUAUGGGACUUGUAAUGGCCAAGUUUGGGACAAGUUUUGCAUGAAAAACGACAGAAGUUGAUUGUUACACAUUAAGGACUAAAAUUCCACAAGUCCAUAGGGACUCUUGAGACAAAGGGAGAGAGGCAAACAAGGAGAGAGAGAGAAAGAAACAAGAAAGAGCUUCUUUAAGAAGAACACCAAGGACCCACAACUAAAAUGUACGACUAUGUACUGGAGGGAUUUGAGGGGGAAAAGCAUGAAAAAAAAAAAAGAAGAUUGGCAACAGUUGUUAGCUCAGGUGCCAAUCUUUAAAAAAAAAAAAGGAAAACCAGCUAAUCUAGGAGUAACAGAAUGAAAGACUCAGGAAAAGUAUCGCUUUUAAACUUGCAAUUUAGCAAUCAUUUCAGGACAGAAUUAGCAAUGGAUGCUGGGACACCUGGGAGAAAGGUCCGACAGGAGAAAUUUGGCCGAGUGCCAACGCGUCCCCCACGGAUGUCUUUCUAAAGCAGAGAGGGUGAAGCGUGCCUCCACAGGGGGCGAUCUGGUGUCACCACCUUAACCAAGUGACAAGCUUCUCUCUGUUGAUCUUGGGGCACGCUCAUAUUGCACACCUCCUAAGGUGGUGCAAUUUGAAAUACAGAGCAUCAUCUGUAAGGGAUCCUUGCCGAAAACGUAAAACAUGAGUCUAAUUUGAAUUAACUAGAAUCUAAUUUAGACCCAAAUUCCAGUUUAUGGAAAAUAUAGGGGACAGAGGCACAAGACACAUGACAACAUGGGGAAGCAAUCAGACAAAUCCAGAACAUGGGACAGUCUACAAGACGACUCGUCCAGACUCUACAAAAAGUCAAUGUCUUAAGAAUCUGUGUGUGUGCGUGUGUGUGUUUGGGGUGGGGGGUGUUGAGGUUAAAAGACGAAACAAAGACAAUAAACAAAUAUAGUGCAUGGAUCUUGCUUGGACGGUGGUUUAAAAUUUUUAAAACGCAGUCAGGACAAAUACGGAAAUUUGAACUUGGAUGUUAGAUGUUCUGGAAUCCUUGUUCAUUUUCUUAGGUAUAAUAAUGGCGCCGUGCUUGUGUAAGGGAAUGCCUUGCUCUCAGACUGAACCAUUUAGUGGUGAAGUCACCAUCUCUGUGACUUUAAAUAGUUCAGAAAAAUACACACACACACAUAUAGAUAAAUAGACAGACAGACGGAUGAACAAAC
rnacentral:lncRNA from 1 species